rnacentral:rRNA from 1 species
CCCGAACGGUGGAUCACUCGGCUCGCGAAU